GUGGGGAAUAUUGCACAAUGGGCGAAAGCCUGAUGCAGCAACGCCGCGUGAGGGACGACGGCCUUCGGGUUGUAAACCUCUUUUAGUAGGGAAGAAGCGAAAGUGACGGUACCUGCAGAAAAAGCACCGGCUAACUACGUGCCAGCAGCCGCGGUAAUACGUAGGGUGCAAGCGUUAUCCGGAAUUAUUGGGCGUAAAUAGCUCGUAGGCGGUCUGUCGCGUCUGCUGUGAAAACUGGAGGCUCAACCUCCAGCCUGCAGUGGGUACGGGCAGACUAGAGUGCGGUAGGGGAGAUUGGAAUUCCUGGUGUAGCGGUGGAAUGCGCAGAUAUCAGGAGGAACACCGAUGGCGAAGGCAGAUCUCUGGGCCGUAACUGACGCUGAGGAGCGAAAGCGUGGGGAGCGAACAGGAUUAGAAACCCUGGUAGUCC
rnacentral:rRNA from 1 species